rnacentral:rRNA from 1 species
AUACGUAGGUGGCAAGCGUUGUCCGGAAUUAUUGGGCGUAAAGCGCGCGCAGGCGGUCCUUUAAGUCUGAUGUGAAAUCCCACGGCUCAACCGUGGAUGGUCAUUGGAAACUGGAGGACUUGAGUACAGAAGAGGAGAGUGGAAUUCCACGUGUAGCGGUGAAAUGCGUAGAGAUGUGGAGGAACACCAGUGGCGAAGGCGACUCUCUGGUCUGUAACUGACGCUGAGGCGCGAAAGCGUGGGUAGCGAACAGGAUUAGAUACCCUGGUAGUCCACGCCGUAAACGAUGAGUGCUAAGUGUUAGAGGGUUUCCGCCCUUUAGUGCUGGAGUAAACGCAUUAAGCACUCCGCCUGGGGAGUACGGCCGCAAGGCUGAA